UACAGAGGGGGCAAGCGUUGUUCGGAAUUACUGGGCGUAAAGGGCGCGUAGGCGGCCUGUUAAGUCGAACGUGAAAUCCCCGGGCUCAACCCGGGAACUGCGUCCGAGACUGGAAGGCUCGAAUCCGGGAGAGGGAUGUGGAAUUCCAGGUGUAGCGGUGAAAUGCGUAGAUAUCUGGAGGAACAUCGGUGGCGAAGGCGGCAUCCUGGACCGGUAUUGACGCUGAGGCGCGAAAGCCAGGGGAGCAAACGGG
rnacentral:rRNA from 1 species